rnacentral:rRNA from 1 species
AACGGGUGAGUAACACGUGGGCAAUCUGCCCUGCACUCUGGGACAAGCCCUGGAAACGGGGUCUAAUACCGGAUACUGACCCGUUUGGGCAUCCAAGCGGUUCGAAAGCUCCGGCGGUGCAGGAUGAGCCCGCGGCCUAUCAGCUUGUUGGUGAGGUAAUGGCUCACCAAGGCGACGACGGGUAGCCGGCCUGAGAGGGCGACCGGCCACACUGGGACUGAGACACGGCCCAGACUCCUACGGGAGGCAGCAGUGGGGAAUAUUGCACAAUGGGCGAAAGCCUGAUGCAGCGACGCCGCGUGAGGGAUGACGGCCUUCGGGUUGUAAACCUCUUUCAGCAGGGAAGAAGCGAAAGUGACGGUACCUGCAGAAGAAGCGCCGGCUAACUACGUGCCAGCAGCCGCGGUAAUACGUAGGGCGCAAGCGUUGUCCGGAAUUAUUGGGCGUAAAGAGCUCGUAGGCGGCUUGUCACGUCGGUUG